CUUCCCAUUCCCUCCCCUCCGCUCCCCGCCUUGCCGCAGCCAUUGGCUCCGGGCCGUCGCCAAGAGACCUACAAUGGGAUAAAUCCUUGUCUGGGAGCAAGUGGAAGAACAGAGCAGCAAUGGAUGUACAUGUAACUUGAACUCACCAACGGCUGAAACAGUCAGAAACCCAGAGCACUGCUUCUGAAAGUGAAAUGCAUCCAGAUGAGCCCGAACUGUGUCAUUUUUAACACAUCCUUUUACCUACGAGUGGGAAGAGAGAAAAGAAAGCUGUAAGAUCAAGGCAAGAAGGGAGCCGAGACUGUAAGUGUGGUAAAGCAGACUGCAGUAAACUCCCCUCUCAUCAGGGAGUGCCCCAGUUUAAUGGGCUCCCUUAUGAAGAAAGUAAUAAUAAAAAGAGUUCAAAAAUCAA